rnacentral:rRNA from 1 species
UACAGAGGUCUCAAGCGUUUGUUCGGAUUCAUUGGGCGUAAAGGGUGUGUAGGUGGCGCCGUAGUCGGGUGUGAAAUUUCGGAGCUUAACUCCGAAACUGCAUUCGAUACUGCCGGUGCUUGAGGACUGGAGAGGAGACUGGAAUUUAUGGUGUAGCAGUGAAAUGCGUAGAGAUCAUGAGGAAGACCAGUGGCGAAGGCGGGUCUCUGGACAG